rnacentral:rRNA from 1 species
GUGCCAGCCGCCGCGGUAAUACGAAGGGUGCGAGCGUUGCUCGGAAUUACUGGGCGUAAAGCGUACGCAGGCGGUCUAUCAAGUCAGGCGUGAAAGACCGGGGCUCAACCCCGGGAAGUCGUCUGAAACUGAGAGACUUGAGUACGGGAGAGGGGUGUGGAAUUCCCAGUGUAGAAGUGAAAUUCGUAGAUAUUGGGAGGAACACCGGUGGCGAAGGCGACACCCUGGCCCGAAACUGACGCUCAGGUACGAAAGCGUGGGGAGCAAACAGGAUUAGAAACCCCCGUAGUCC